UAAGGUAGUGUUCAAGGUAUAUUUAUUUUAUAAGGUAGUGUUAAGGGCGAAUUCAAAAAAACUUGGGCGAAUCGAAAUACAACACUGUACAGUAUUUGUUUUUGUUUAGGCGAAUUCUGGUGUAGGCACAAUGUCAAAAACAGCUGAUUUAUAAUAUGAGGCGAAUUUGUAAAAAUUAAAAAAAAAAGUUGUUUGUAAAUAAAAGAUUUUUUGAAAUAUAAUAAAAUUGUUAAAAUUCUUCGAACACUCUUCGGUCUAGACAAGAAAAUGCUAAAAUAACGUUUGUCGGCUGAUCAGUGGAAGGCUUGUUUGCAGCAGAAGGACACAAAGGCUCAACAAUUAUUUAUGGAUAUAAUUAUUUUAAAUAAUUGCCUUUUCAAGUUUUUAGUGAAAUCUUAAACUACAUAGAACUAAAACAGAAUGGAAUAUAUAUCGUCAGUAUAUUAUUGUUUUGCUCUCUUUUUUGAAUGUCUUUGGGCACAUUAAAAAAUGUCCCACCUCCAGCCUCCACUUUCUUCCCACAUAUUUUGCAACAACGCAUUGUUUUUUUUUUAAUUUCACAAUAAUAACACUUUUAUCACUCACAA